rnacentral:rRNA from 1 species
GACGAACGCUGGCGGCGUGCCUAAUACAUGCAAGUUGAGCGCUGAAGGUUGGUACAUGUACCAACUGGAUGAGCAGCGAACGGGUGAGUAACGCGUGGGGAAUCUGCCUUUGAGCGGGGGACAACAUUUGGAAACGAAUGCUAAUACCGCAUAAAAACUUUAAACACAAGUUUUAAGUUUGAAAGAUGCAAUUGCAUCACUCAAAGAUGAUCCCGCGUUGUAUUAGCUAGUUGGUGAGGUAAAGGCUCACCAAGGCGAUGAUACAUAGCCGACCUGAGAGGGCGAUCGGCCACAGUGGGACUGAGACACGGCCCAAACUCCUACGGGAGGCAGCAGUAGGGAAUCUUCCGCAAUGGACGAAAGUCUGACCGAGCAACGCCGCGUGAGUGAAGAAGGUUUUCGGAUCGUAAAACUCUGUUGGUAGAGAAGACCGUUGGUGAGAGUGGAAAGCUCAUCAAGUGACGGUAACUACCCAGAAAGGGACGGCUAACUACGUG